rnacentral:rRNA from 1 species
GGCCGAAAGGCGUAGUCGAUGGGUAGCAGGUCAACAUUCCUGCGCCUCCAUGGAGAUCAAACCGGAGUGCGAAUCUGUGAGCUCUACAGAAGCAUCAGCAUGCUGAGGCCCUUGAGGCCGUCGUAGAGGGAUCGGGUUCCGAGAAAAGCUCCGGGGGCAAUAUGGAGUCCGUACCAAAACCGACACAGGUAGGUGUGGUGAAUAACCUAAGGCGCUCGAGAGAACCGUCGUGAAGGAAUUAGGCAAAUUGACCCCGUACGUUCGCAAUAAGGGGGCCCUCCUCGCAAGAGAGGGCGCAGAGAAAAGGCUCUGGCGACUGUUUAUCAAAAACACAGCACUGUGCGAACUCGUAAGAGGAUGUAUACAGUGUGACGCUUGCCCAAUGCCGGAAUGUCACGGAAGCGGGUUAUCUUCGGAGAAGCUCGUGACCUAAGCACCGGUCAAUGGCGGCCGUAACUAUGACGGU